CCUACGGGGGGCAGCAGUAAGGGAUAUUGCACAAUGGGCGCAAGCCUGAUGCAGCAACGCCGCGUGCAGGAAGAAGGUCUUCGGAUCGUAAACUGCUUUUCUGCGGGACGAUGAUGACGGUACCGCAGGAAGAAGUCUCGGCUAACUACGUGCCAGCAGCCGCGGUAAAACGUAGGAGGCAAGCGUUAUCCGGAUUUACUGGGCGUAAAGGGCGUGCAGGUGGCUGUGUAAGUGGUGCGUGAAAGCGCCCGGCUCAACCGGGCGAGGCCGUGCCAAACUGCACAACUAGAAACAGGCAGAGGAAAGUGGAAUUCGGGGUGUAGUGGUGAAAUGCGUAGAGAUCCCGAGGAACUCCUGUGGCGAAGGCGACUUUCUGGGCCUGCUUUGACACUCAGACGCGAAAGCAUGGGGAGCGAACGGGAUUAGAUACCCUUGUAGUC
rnacentral:rRNA from 1 species